rnacentral:rRNA from 1 species
CCUACGGGUGGCUGCAGUGGGGGAUAUUGCACAAUGGGGGGAACCCUGAUGCAGCGACGCCGCGUGGGUGAAGGAGUGCUUCGGCAUGUAAAGCCCUAUCGGCAGGGAAGAAGCAAGACGGUACCUGACUAAGAAGCCCCGGCUAACUCCGUGCCAGCAGCCGCGGUAAUACGGAGGAUGCGACCGUUAUCCGGAUUUAUUGGGUUUAAAGGGUGCGCAGGCGGAUUUUUAAGUCAGCGGUCAAAUCGUGGGGCUCAACCCCAUCCAGCCGUUGAAACUGGGGAUCUAGAGUGUGCGAGAGGUAUGCGGAAUGCGUGGUGUAGCGGUGAAAUGCAUAGAUAUCACUCAGAACCCCGAUUGCGAAGGCAGCAUACCGGUGCACAACUGACGCUCAGGCACGAAAGCGUGGGUAUCGAACAGGAUUAGAUACCCCAGUAGUC